GUCAGGAUAGUGUAGUGGUUAUCACAUCUGUUUUACACGCAGAAGGUCGUGGGUUCAAUUCCCACUCUUGACA
rnacentral:tRNA from 1 species